AUUUAGUAAGCAUGAUAACACAUCAGUCCAGACAGACAGAAGUACCCGCUUGAGAGAGAAAUUUGCAGAAGAAUUUGCAAAAUGGACUAAAGUGGGCACCUGAUCGCGUUUCACUCCAUUGCAGUGGUUUGGCAGGAGAAAACAGUCGUGCCCGUCUUGUUUGCAGGACACCUGACCCUGUCACCCUGCAGAUGUAAGGAACUUGUUGUGAACCUCCCAGCCACCAGGAUGAUUCCCAUAUCCAAGGUUUUUAUUAAGGACUGUGCAAUAUCACAAUGUUAGGAAUGGAUUCACCAGUUAUUGUUUAUCAUGCAGAUUUGUCUGAACAUCGUAAUUUAUGAAACUCAUUCUUAAAUACAGACAUGAAUUUCUGUCCCAGGGAAUUGCACUAUGUGCACAUCUUCAAUUUAGAUCACAAUUAUUUGAAUGAGGUGUUAGUAAAGGGCUGGAACAGAAACGUGUAAACUCCUGUGUAUAAAAACAAUCCUGUGGCGGUCAUGACAAAAUCAUGUAGUGAACAAUCUUAUGAACGUUGGAGGUUAAUCUCCUUGGAGAUGUCACUCACGUGGGAAUGAGUUAUUUUGUA